UGGGGAAUUUUGGACAAUGGGCGAAAGCCUGAUCCAGCAAUGCCGCGUGUGUGAAGAAGGCCUUCGGGUUGUAAAGCACUUUUGUCCGGAAAGAAAUCCUUGGCUCUAAUACAGUCGGGGGAUGACGGUACCGGAAGAAUAAGCACCGGCUAACUACGUGCCAGCAGCCGCGGUAAUACGUAGGGUGCAAGCGUUAAUCGGAAUUACUGGGCGUAAAGCGUGCGCAGGCGGUUUGCUAAGACCGAUGUGAAAUCCCCGGGCUCAACCUGGGAACUGCAUUGGUGACUGGCAGGCUAGAGUAUGGCAGAGGGGGGUAGAAUUCCACGUGUAGCAGUGAAAUGCGUAGAGAUGUGGAGGAAUACCGAUGGCGAAGGCAGCCCCCUGGCAAGUACUGACGCUCAUGCACGAAAGCGUGGGGAGCAAACAGGAUUAGAUACCCUGGUAGUCCACGCCCUAAACGAUGUCAACUAGUUGUUGGGGAUUCAUUUCCUUAGUAACGUAGCUAACGCGUGAAGUUGACCGCCUGGGGAGUACGGUCGCAAGAUUAAAACUCAAAUGAAUUGACGGGGUCAUAGCUGUUCCU
rnacentral:rRNA from 1 species